rnacentral:lncRNA from 1 species
UGCGAGAGUGGAAAAGCGAUAUUCUAUUCUAUCCCAACACUUAGGCCCUGUUUGGAUGCAUAGUUAAAAAACUCCAUGGAAUUUUUAUUCUAUGGUUUUGGUCUAAACGAAAUACGGAAUCCUGUAACUACAAAAAAUUUCCACAGCUUCAUUUUUAAGCUGUUUGGAUAUAUAUCAUACAAUUCCACAGUAUUUAUAAUAACUAAAUUUCUAAAAUUUUAAAAUUCAAAAUUCAAAAUUCAAAAUUUAAAAAUAAAAUUGUAAAAAUUAAAAUUCAAAAUUCAAAAUAUAAAAUUAAAAUUUAAAAUUUAAAAUUAAAAAAGUAAAUUAGAUUUUAUGUUUUAAAUUUGAAAUUUGAAAUUUGGAAUUUGAAAUUUCAAUUUUGAAAUUUGAAACUUUAAAAUUAAAAACUUAAAGUAUACCAUUUAAACUUUAAAUUUUGAAAUUUAAAAAAUCUAUAAUUAAAAUUUUAAAUUUCAAAUUUAAUAAUUUAUAAAUUUACAUAUUUAUAAAUUUAAAAUUUUAAAGUUAAGUUUAAAUUUAAAUUUUGAAGAUUGAAAAUUAAAAAUUAAUUUGAAAUUUGAAAUUUGAACUUUUUGAAAUUUGAAAUUUGAAAUUUGAAAUUUGAAAGUUGAAAGUUGAAAGUUGAAAGUUGAAAUUUGAAAUUUGAAAAUUGAAAAUUGAAAAUUGAAAUUUUAACUUUUUGAAAUUUGAAAAUUGAAAAUUGAAAAUUGAAAAUUGAAAUUUGAAAUUUGAAACUUGAAAUUUGAAGUUUUUGAAAUUUGAAAUUUGAAAUUUAAAAUUUGAAGUUUUUGAAUUUUGAAAUUUGAAAUUUAAAAUUUAAAAUUUAAAAUCAAAAUUAAAUUUGAAUUUUAAAAUUUUAAAAUUUGAAAUCUAAAAUUUUAUGUUGAAAUUUAAAAUUUAAAAAUUGAUACAUCUUUGGGAGCCCAAAAUAGUGGAAUUUUUUUUCCUUUGGUUAAAGUGGAUUGUAAGUUUACUCCAUUUUUUGGAGUAUAGUAUAACUAUGCUCCAAAAAUUACGUCAUUUUUUUUUUCUUCCAAACGCUUCAUAGGAUUAUUUUCCUACCGGCGUAGCAUAGUUUAACUAUGCUACGUUUUUAGAGGUAUCCAAACGGGGCCUUAGAGAUGAUGGAAGUAUGGGCUUCAUACCACGAAGGACCUCGCUACAGCUACCAUGAUGACCUUUCGCUGAUCACUCGAGCAGUUUCAGGAUGACCUCACUCACCACCAGAAUAAGCG